rnacentral:rRNA from 1 species
UACGAAGGGGGCUAGCGUUGCUCGGAAUCACUGGGCGUAAAGGGUGCGUAGGCGGGUCUUUAAGUCAGGGGUGAAAUCCUGGAGCUCAACUCCAGAACUGCCUUUGAUACUGAGGAUCUUGAGUUCGGGAGAGGUGAGUGGAACUGCGAGUGUAGAGGUGAAAUUCGUAGAUAUUCGCAAGAACACCAGUGGCGAAGGCGGCUCACUGGCCCGAUACUGACGCUGAGGACGAAAGCGUGGGGAGCAAACAGG